rnacentral:rRNA from 1 species
GAUGAACGCUGGCGGCGUGCUUAACACAUGCAAGUCGAACGAAGCACUUUUGAUUGAUUUCCUCGGAAAGAUUUCACUUGUGACUGAGUGGCGGACGGGUGAGUAACGCGUGGGUAACCUGCCUCGUACAGGGGGAUAACAGUUGGAAACGACUGCUAAUACCGCAUAAGCGCACGGUAUCGCAUGAUACAGUGUGAAAAACUCCGGUGGUAUGAGAUGGACCCGCGUCUGAUUAGCUAGUUGGUGGGGUAACGGCCCACCAAGGCGACGAUCAGUAGCCGACCUGAGAGGGUGACCGGCCACAUUGGGACUGAGACACGGCCCAAACUCCUACGGGAGGCAGCAGUGGGGAAUAUUGCACAAUGGGCGAAAGCCUGAUGCAGCGACGCCGCGUGAACGAAGAAGUAUUUCGGUAUGUAAAGUUCUAUCAGCAGGGAAGAUAAUGACGGUACCUGACUAAGAAGCACCGGCUAAAUACGUGCCAGCCGCCGCGGUAAAAC